UUCUCCUCGCCGCCUCCGGCCCUCUCCAGCGCCGGCGUGAUGGGGCUUUGCUCCGCCUCGCUGCUCUCUACCGCCUCCUCCCGGUCGAUUUGAUCCUCGAGGUCUUAAUCACCCGCUCCCAACCCCGGAACCCUACCUACUGCCGGCCGAUUUGGCCAUCGCCGGCCUCCUCCUCCGACACUGAUCCACGGCGUGGCCUCACCACGGACCUCCCUGCCAUCUACCACUGCCUCAGCGCCGCCCCUUUCCCGCACGCGUGCUUCACGGCAACCCUAGCCCACGGGAGGCUCGGUCGCCGGCGUGUUUCCGCCACCGCCGCGGGCAGACUGCUGUGAUGACGGUGAAUUGGUGGUGUGGUGCUGCGGUGUUGUUGUACUGAUGGAGCGGUGUGGUGUUGGUGGUGACUACUGCAUCCACGACGCCGGCCGGACGGCGUCUACGACCGCAACCCCGGCGUCCAUGUACUGGUGGUGAUGCUGCUAGUACAGUGGUGGUACUACUGUGAUGUGGGCGGCAGUGCUGUUGUGGUGGUGGUGCUGCUCUGAGCUGUGGUGCUCGACAUCGAUGGACGGCGCUGCAAACGCAACCUCGGUGUCGAAUAGCUCGCCUACGCCAUGUAUUCCACUGAAAAGAAGAUGUUGGGAAAUUGGAGAAGAUUAGAUUUAGGAAUUCUUUUAUUUCUAUUUUCUAUUCUUUGUAAUUUGGUUUCUUUUUAUGGAGCUGUAAAUAAUUGAAUUAUGAUAAUUGUAAUAAGGUUUAAAUUAUCUAUCUAUUUUGAAUUA